rnacentral:rRNA from 1 species
AUGGAGAUUACUAAGGUGGACCUCCGUGGCCUAAAUCCCAGCGGGCCUGGGUGGAGGGAAGCCCGGGACGCCGUAACCACAUCCAUGGUGGCACACGGCUUCGUGGUGGUCGCACACGACGCGGUCGGCCCGGAGCUCCGGGAAGCGCUUUUCGGGCGCGCCUUGCCGGAGUUGUACGCGCUUCCGGUGGAGGCCAAGCGGCAGAACGUGGCGUCCACUCGGGUCCCGUUCCAAGGCUACAUCUCAAACAUGCCCGACGGGACCCUCGAGAGCUUGCGCGUCUGGGAUCCCACCGACGCCAGCCGCGUCCGUGACUACGGCAACCUCCUCUGGCCGCAGCAGGGGGGCAACCCUGCCUUCUGCGACACCAUUGUGUCGGUUGCCAAGAAGCUGGUGAAGCUGGAGCAGACCGUGAUGAUGAUGGUCCUUGAGGGCCUCGGCGCCGGGGAGGAGCGCAUCCACGCACACCAGGACCAGGAGGCGCUCACCUACGGCCUUCGGCUCUGGCGCUACGGCAUGCGGCCUCUGGACGCAGCCACCGGCGUCUCAUUGCUACCGCACCGUGACACCUGCAUCACCAGCACCGUCCUGCAGCAUGAGGUGGAAGGCCUGGAGGUGCAGACCAGGGACGGCAACUGGAUCGCCGUGCCGCCUCAGCCCGACACAGCCACCAUCAUCGCCGGUGAUUUCUUCACUGUCCUAACAAAUGGAAGGACGCCGUCAUGCCUCCACCGUGUUAGGACGCCGAGCAACCGCGAGCGCUUCUCGGUGGCUCUCCACUGCCGCCGAAAGGACGACGCCUUGGUGGCUCCAAUGGCUGAGCUGGUCGACAGAGACCACCCUCUGAUGUAUAACCCUUGCAUUGCCGGCGAGUACACCAUAUUUCGCUACUCCGAGGAAGGGCGCGACCACGGCGACCCACUCAAGGCUUUCUGCGGUGUCUGA